CUGGCGGAAUGCUUUACACAUGCAAGUCGAGCGGCAGCGCGGUCUUCGGACUGGCGGCGAGCGGCGAACGGGUGAGUAAUACAUCGGAACAUGCCCAGUCGUGGGGGAUAACACUUCGAAAGAAGUGCUAAUACCGCAUACGUCCUGAGGGAGAAAGCGGGGGAUCGCAAGACCUCGCGCGAUUGGAGUGGCCGAUGUCAGAUUAGCUAGUUGGUGGGGUAAAGGCCUACCAAGGCAACGAUCUGUAGCUGGUCUGAGAGGAUGAUCAGCCACACUGGGACUGAGACACGGUCCAGACUCCUAUGGGAGGCAGCAGUGGGGAAUAUUGGACAAUGGACGCAAGUCUGAUCCAGCCAUUCCGCGUGCAGGAUGAAGGCCUUCGGGUUGUAAACUGCUUUUGUACGGAACGAAAAGGUUUGUCUUAAUACGAUGAGCUCAUGACGGUACCGUAAAGAAUAAGCACCGGCNNNNNNCAUNNNNACGAUGUCUACUAGCUGUUCGUGGUCUUGUACUGUGAGUAGCGCAGCUAACGCACUAAGUAGACCGCCUGGGGAGUACGGUCGCAAGAUUAAAACUCAAAGGAAUUGACGGGGACCCGCACAAGCGGGGGAUGAUGUGGUUUAAUUCGAUGCAACGCGAAAAACCUUACCUACCCUUGACAUGCACGGAAGUGCCAGAGAUGGCUUCGUGCUCGAAAGAGAACCGUAACACAGGUGCUAGAGCCGUAACACAGGUGCUGCAUGGCUGUCGUCAGCUCGUGUUGUGAGAUGUUGGGUUAAGUCCCGCAACGAGCGCAACCCCUAUCUUAGUUGCUACAUUUAGUUGGGCACUCUAAUGAUACUGCCGGUGACAAACCUGAGGAAGGUGGGGAUGACGUCAAGUCCUCAUGGCCCUUAUAGGUGGGGCUACACACGUCAUACAAUGGCUGGUACAGAGGGUUGCCAACCCGCGAGGGGGAGCUAAUCCCAUAAAACCAGUCGUAGUCCGGAUCGCAGUCUGCAACUCGACUGCGUGAAGUCGGAAUCGCUAGUAAUCGUAGAUCAGAAUGUCGCGGUGAAUACGUUCCCGGGUCUUGUACACUCCGCCCGCUCCCAUGGUGUGACGGGCGGUGUGUACAAGACCCGGGAACGUAUUCACCGUGACAUUCUGAUCCACGAUUACUAGCG
rnacentral:rRNA from 1 species